AUGAGGUUCUCUGCUCAGCUACUUGGGCUGCUUAUGUUCUGGAUCCCUGGAGCCACUGGGGAUAUUGUGAUUACACAACCUUCACUCUAUAAUCCUGUCACACUUGGAGAGUCAGCCUCCAUCUCCUGCAGGUCUAUUAAACGUCUCCUACAUAGUAAUGGCAUCACUUAUUUGUAUUGGUAUCUGCAGAGACCAGGACAGUCUCCUCAGCAACUUGUAUAUUGGGUGUCCAACCUUGCCUCAGGAGUCCCAGACAGGUUCAGUGGCAGUGGGUCAGGAACAGAUUUCACUCUGAAAAUCAGCAGAGAGGAGGGUGUGAGUAUGGGUGUUUAUAAUUGUAUGUAA